GGGAGUGGCAGCCCGAUUGUCCGAGGAUUAAAAAGUAAGCAGCAUUGUUUGUUGGAGAGCCCUACAGGAAGUGGGAACAGCUUAGUCUUACUUUGUGCUGCUUUAGUGUGGCACCAGUCUCUUCUUCCUGGGAAGCCAGCGG